UACGGAGGGUGCAAGCGUUAUCCGGAUUCACUGGGUUUAAAGGGUGCGUAGGUGGGAUGGUAAGUCAGUGGUGAAAUCUCCGAGCUUAACUCGUAAACUGCCUUUGAUACUAUCAUUCUUGAAUAUUGUGGAGGUUAGCGGAAUAUGUAGUGUAGCGGUGAAAUGCUUAGAUAUUACAUGGAAUACCCAUUGCGAAGGCAGGUUACUAACAAUGGAUUGACGCUGAUGGACGAAAGCGUGGGGAGCGAACAGG
rnacentral:rRNA from 1 species